UGGGGAAUAUUGGACAAUGGGCGCAAGCCUGAUCCAGCAACGCCGCGUGGAGGACGAAGGCCUUCGGGUCGUAAACUCCUGUCAGUAGGGACGAAAAAGUAGGGUCGAACAGGCCUUGCCAUUGACGGUACCUGCAGAGGAAGCCCCGGCUAACUCCGUGCCAGCAGCCGCGGUAAUACGGAGGGGGCAAGCGUUAUUCGGAAUUACUGGGCGUAAAGGGCGUGUAGGCGGCUUGAUAGGUCAAAAGGUGAAAUCCCUCGGCUCAACCGAGGAACUGCCUUUGAAACCAUCUGGCUCGAGGCUGGGAGGGGGUAGCGGAAUUCCUGGUGUAGCGGUGAAAUGCGUAGAUAUCAGGAGGAACACCAGUGGCGAAGGCGGCUACCUGGACCAGUUCUGACGCUGAGGCGCGAAAGCGUGGGG
rnacentral:rRNA from 1 species